rnacentral:rRNA from 1 species
GACAGAGGGUGCAAACGUUGUUCGGAAUUACUGGGCGUAAAGCGCGUGUAGGCGGCCAUGCAAGUCGGAUGUGAAAGCCCUCGGCUCAACCGGGGAAGUGCACUCGAAACUGCAAGGCUAGAGUCUCGGAGAGGAUCGUGGAAUUCCCGGUGUAGCGGUGAAAUGCGCAGAUAUCGGGAAGAACACCCGUGGCGAAGGCGGUUCUCUGGGACGGUACUGACGCUGAGACGCGAAAGCGUGGGGAGCGAACAGG